UAGGGAAUCUUGCGCAAUGGGCGAAAGCCUGACGCAGCAACGCCGCGUGGGGGAUGAAGGCUCUCGGGUUGUAAACCCCUUUCAGCAGGGACGAAAUUGACGGUACCUGCAGAAGAAGCCCCGGCCAACUACGUGCCAGCAGCCGCGGUAAUACGUAGGGGGCGAGCGUUGUCCGGAUUCAUUGGGCGUAAAGAGCUCGUAGGCGGCUUGGCAAGUCGGAUGUGAAAACUCCAGGCUCAACCUGGAGCCGCCAUUCGAUACUGCUAUGGCUAGAGUCCGGUAGGGGAGUGUGGAAUUCCCGGUGUAGCGGUGAAAUGCGCAGAUAUCGGGAGGAACACCGAUGGCGAAGGCAGCACUCUGGGCCGGCACUGACGCUGAGGAGCGAAAGCGUGGGGAGCGAACAGGAUUAGAUACCCCUGUAGUCC
rnacentral:rRNA from 1 species